UCCGAGCUCCUUCCCACGGUUACCGCCUCAGACCGACUCGCCGUUAACCCCCUCGUUCCCAAGCGCAGUCACUCCACCCUUCCCGGAGCCAGGAAGGGGAGAAGUGAACCACCCCGGACCAUGCCCUUCCCCGAAGCUGGAGAACGGCGAAUUUGAUUGCGGGUUCUUUAAGUUAGGGAGGGAGUUAACGCUUUCUUCUAGGCCGUACCCCCAGCGAGAGCCAAUAAGAUACAAAGGUUCUCGUCACGUGAUGGAGAACUCGCGCCGCUUCGGUGAAGCCGCUGGCGCUGCCAUGUUGGGUUUGGGCGGAGGCCUCUUACUGGAGUCUCGGUAGAGGUGCCAAUAGUCCCCUCUGGAGAACGCUGGACAGAGACCGGGCACGAUCGGGAGGCGACGCUGCUUCUGACCGCCUUUGCUCUAUCUGUUUCACUCCUCAGUGAACAGCGUCCUCAGACUUCCGAGUUCUUCUAUGCCACAAGCCCUAGAGUUAGAGUUGUGAGCCGAGGUGUGAAAGUGGGCAAGAGACCCUGGCUCAGCGGUGUGCUGGUUAAACCAUCUCGGCAUUCCUGGUAUAAAUAUCACUUGGUUACCAUGUAUAACUUUGUAAUAUAUUAUUGUAGUCUCCUGUUGCAUACCCAAUUGAAUGGUCUGUUUUUUUCUCUG